rnacentral:rRNA from 1 species
CCUACGGGCGACAGCAGUGGGGAAUAUUGCACAAUGGGGGAAACCCUGAAGCAGCGACGCCGCGUGAGUGAAGAAGUAUUUCGGUACGUAAAGCUCUAUCAGCAGGGAAGAAAAAAAGUCCUUUGGACUUUGGACGGUACCUGACCAAGAAGCCCCGGCUAACUACGUGCCAACAGCCGCGGUAAUACGUAGGGGGCAAGCGUUAUCCGGAUUGACUGGGUGUAAAGGGAGCGUAGACGGCAGCGCAAGUCUGGAGUGAAAUGCCGGGGACCAACCCCGGAACUGCUUUGGAAACUGUGCAGCUGGAGUGCAGGAGAGGUAAGCGGAAUUCCUAGUGUAGCGGUGAAAUGCGUAGAUAUUAGGAGGAACACCAGUGGCGAAGGCGGCUUACUGGACUGUAACUGACGUUGAGGCUCGAAAGCGUGGGGAGCAAACAGGAUUAGAUACCCUUGUAGUC